ncrna:unclassified sequences RT-3 RNA
AAUCGUCUCUACGGCAAACCGUUACGAGUUGGCGGACAGCUGAGGGCGAGAACCCUGCGCCACGACAAAAGCGAAGUCGCUAAGCGGCAUCGGAAAGUCGAAACAUCACGAUUGGUUGGUAGAGGUUGGUAGGACUUCUUUUUAUGAGACAGUCUCGAAGACCUUAGACCAA